UAAUGUUUGUACUAAUUUUUCCUUUUUCAAAUCUUAGUUGGCCGUUAUUCAGGGGCUCAGCUUAAUCUUGGAGGUUACAGAUCUCUUGGGUUGGGCGGUAGAGCAGGCCUCAGGCAAGGUGGAUAUGGAGCCCAGGGCGGUUAUGGUGCUGAUCUGGGCACAGGAAUGGGGUUAGGGACUGGACUUACAAAUGGAAUGGGAAUGGGUUUGGGCCAGGGAGGGAAACGCG